ensembl:ncRNA lncRNA:CR46019 long non-coding RNA:CR46019
AGGUCCAUAAAAUUGGCAACAUUGCGUUGGCGAUGAAAAUGGUGAAGUGUUUCCAAAAAGGUCACAGUGUUGCCGCCGAAAAAUUUAUGCAAAUUCAUUGCGAAUUUUAAUGCCCCACGGGAGCCUCACUGCAGGAGCAUCCAGCAUCAUCGACGUUUUCGAAUGCGGUCAAUGUGCCACAACGCAGCUGGCGAGCUGAUCAUGGGAGUCGGCAGACGGGAGUCGGCAGACGGGAGUCGGGAGCCGGCGACCGGGGAAAUGAAUUUGUAAUGAAAGUGGUUAUCCGGCAUUCAGUGACCCGCCGGAUUCCUGCAGGAAUUGACGGCGUAAACGGAUAGACAUUAAGCGAAAUUAAACAGGCAAAUAAUUCAAAAGCACGCGUAGUUCUGCGAGGUUCAAUAAAAAUCAAAAGCAUGUUUUUG